rnacentral:rRNA from 1 species
UGAGUGGACGAAAGCUCCGGCGGCAUAGGAUGGGCCUGCGGCGUAUCAGGUUGUAGGGGGUGUAACGUACCCUCUAGCCAUCUACGCGUACGGGUGUUGGGAGACAUAGCCCGGAGAUGGAUUCUGAGACACGAAUCCAGACCCUACGGGGUGCAGCAGGCGCGAAAACUUGGCAAUGCGAGAAAUCGUGACCAGGGAACUCCAAGUGCAUCGGGUAAGACCGGUGCUUUUCUUGACUCUAAAUAGGUCUUGGAAUAAGGGGUGGGUAAGGACGGUGCCAGCCGCCGCGGUAAUACCGGCGCCUCAAGUGGUAGUCGCUUUUAUUGGGCCUAAAACGUCCGUAGCCGGUCUGAUACAUUCGUGGGUAAAUCAACCAGCUCAACUGGUUGAAUUCUGCGAGGACGGUCAGACUUGGGACCGGGAGAGGUGUGGGGUACGCUCAGGGUAGGGGUAAAAUCCUGUCAUCCUGAGCGGACCACCUGUUGCGAAGGCGCCACACUAGAACGGAUCCGACGGUCAGGGACGAAGCCUAGGGGCACGAACCGGAUUAGAUACCCGGGUAGUCCUAGGUGUAAACGCUGUGGACUUGAUGUUGGGGGUGCUCCGAGCACUCUCAGUGUCGAAGCGAAGGUGAUAAGUCCACUGCCUGGGAAGUACGGUCGCAAGGCUGAAACUUAAAGGAAUUGGCGGGGGAGCACCGCAACCUGAGGAUUGUGCGGUUUAAUUGGACUCAACGCCGGAA